AACGAACGCUGGCGGCAGGCUUAACACAUGCAAGUCGAGCGGGCACUUCCUGCUGUCAGCGGCGGCCGGGUGGGUAACGCGGUGGAACGUGCGCUCUUGUUCUGAAUAACACAGUGAAACAUCAUCUAAUACCUGAUACUCCCUCUUGGGGGAAGGCCUGCGGCCGGGGGAUCGGCCCGUGUCUGUUUAGGUAGUUGGUUAGGUUACGGCUCACCCAGGCGAUGAGCAGUGGCUGGUAUGAGAGGAUGAUUAGCCACGCUGGGGCUGGGACACGGCCCAGACUCCUAGGCAACGGAGCAGUGGGGAGUACUAGACGAGGGGGGCAAGCGUGAUACCGCCGUGCCGGGGGAGAGAUGAAGGCCGUUGGGUUGUACAGUUCUUUUAUCCGAGGCGAGAAUGACGGUAACGGAGGAAUAAGCCCCGGCUAACUUCGUG
rnacentral:rRNA from 1 species